ACGAAAGCUAUCUUUACUGCAGCACAUUUCCUCCAUCUGCUCCACUUAAUUCAUGCUGCAAACAUCACUGAAGCUGUAAAAGAAACAAUCAUGUAAAAAUGCAUCUAAAUGAACUUUAGUUGAUCUCAUUGAGGCCAAAUGAAUUGAAGGCUGGUUUUAUUCUGCAGGAAUAAAUGCUGAGCUGAAAUAGAUCAAAUCUAAAGAGUUCAGAGUCACUGUUUCUGGUUCUGUUCUUCAGACUGUCUGCAGAUUCAGACUAAUGACAGGAAAGCUGGUUCUGAACAUGUUGGACUGAUUAUUACUGGUUCUGGACCUGAGGGACCGUGGGCUGGGAAAUAAUACUUUAAUAUUCUGACGCUAAAAGCCAAAACCCAGAGUUAAACAGUUCAUCAUGUAGGAACAUUUCAGAAUCUUUCCACUCUCACUGCAUAAAAACCCAUUAGUUCAUGUGAUAUUUCCAUCUCAGACUCCAUUUACAGGAAAAUAUCACACUGUGGUUCAAAUGACAGAGGAGCUAUUCAUGGAGCUGCAAUGAUUAGAACCUACAGACUCUGUCCUUCAGGCCUUUUAUUAUCUAGGCUGUAAACUCAGUUUCUCACUGAAUAUAAAACCUUUUAUAUCAGCAGGAAUUUUAUCUGUCAAACUUUGUUACUUUCUGUUCCUGUUCUGAGUUACUGGGAGUGAUGGUUUCUAACUGACUUCAACCUUCACAAACAUCUCCAGCUACAGACAUGACUGAACCUGAAACUAUUUGACCUCAGAGUCUUAGUCAGGGGUGUCACUAGGUUUACAAAGGACAAGGAGGGCUUAGCCCCAAGGAGAUGCACAGGAUACAGACGAACGUAGCAGAUGAUUUGUCCCUGAAGGACGUCUGCUGUCCUCACUGCUGAGGAAACUGCAGCUGGAGAAGCUUCUGCAGAACAAAACACAGAUUAUACUGGACUUCAUUAACAUCACUGGAAGCAGUUUCACAACAAUGAGGUUCAGAUUACAGAGCAACAUGUUAACAGGAGUUGUUUGGAGCUCUUCAUUUACAGACCAAUCAGCUGGGCUGUAUUAACCCACCACAGCUUUCAGCUCUAAACCCAUCAGGAAGCGGACCUGAGGUGCAGCAGACCUCAGACACAUUCAGGUCAUCAACCAGCUGCAGGUUUCCAUCAGAAACAGGAAACACGAUGACUACAGAACCACAGGCUGCAGAGAGAAUCUCCAAUAUUCUCUAUGUAGAGAAUUUAACGUCUGCUGCAUCUCAUUGGCUGUUUUUCACCAUCUGAUACUUCCUGGUUUCUGCCUGGUAGGGGUUCUGCUCCAGCUUCUCCAACACCAGCUGAAAUAAACCAACAGAACCUCCAGAACUGAUCUGUUUGGUAUCUGGACUUUCUUCUAACAUGUUCAUGCAACAAGAUCUAAGAACCUGAACUGUUUUAAGGACACAUUUAAUAUUUUUGCCAGGGUUAUUUCAUUCAGAUUUGACAGUGUUAGUAAAAUCCUGAAGUUUGUUUCUCACCUUCAUG